rnacentral:sRNA from 1 species
UCCUAGCCCCGAUGGGAGGGAAUAUCCUUUUGUUUGUAGCUGGCAGUUCUUCAACGGCCACCUACAAACAAAAGAUAGGAAGGACAGCGGGACGAUUU